rnacentral:lncRNA from 1 species
GGCCUACAUAAUUAUAAUUGUAAUGACUAAAACAAACACAAAGCUGCCAAAUUCACUGCUUUAUUCACACUCAAACUGCCUAGCCACUCCUAAGUAAACGACUUGACUUGCCGUCUGAAGGACGUCCCUAGCCAUCUCUGCACUGGGCUAGGGCCAUAGUCAGGACAGGACGGAAGGUGGUACCUCUAGCCACCUCCGAUCCUUUUGGUCUCCCCAGUCGGAGGCAGGUGUUGAUCGCUGCCUCCAAUUGGGGACCCUAUUUAUGUUCCCUGUGUAGCCACACCCGGUGAGGUUCAUUUGGGUUUUGGCUCUCCUUUGGAUACCCCAUGGAAAGACAGCGGCGAUUGUUUUUGUCUUCACUUUUUGUUGAUUAAAACAUGGAUUACACCCUCCAUUUUGACUCUGCGCCUGUGUUGUACCGCAAACAAAUUUGUGACCCCAGGACACUUCGGAGUUGUGAUUGCUGCCAAAGGCCUUCUAUAAAUUACUGAAUAAAGGGUAUGAAUAAUUAUUUUCUAUUUUAUUAUUUUUUAGUAUUUUAGUAUUAGUAUUUCAGUUUUUUUUAUAUUUCUUUUUAAAUCAAUACAUAUCUAUUAAAAUGUGAUUUCACUUUGUCAGUAUUGGGUAUUAUUGAGUAUGAUGGCAACAAAAUGACACAAUGUGGAGAAAGUGAAGGGGCCUGAAUAUGUUCCGAAGCCACUGUGACAGCGUGCACAUGGAUUGCAGUGUGUUUAAGACUAAGUGUUGUCGUGUUUAAAUGGCCUUCUGUAAAUAAUCAACUCAGCACUGCACUUCUGUGUCUCUGCGCUGUUGUUUUGUCUCUGCUUACCUUUGCUUAGCUGGUCUUUACAGCAGAACAGUGCAGGAAGUACACUGGCCGCAGGCAUGACAGACCUGCACCAGGAGAUGAACUUUGAAGUGCUGGUGUCUAGUGCCAGCAAACUCAGUCUCAGCCUCCCAGUGAAGCAGAAGAGCGAACGCAUCACCAGUGCUGACUCCAGGAUGAACUGUGAGAGAGAGCUCCAACAUGUCCCUUUCAAGCUGUGUGGUCAGAGUCCUCUGGUGUCUCGCUACAUUCAGCUCUACGGCAUCCCUAGUCCCACUGGGUCACAUACACACACGAUUACAUGGAGUGAGAUCACCAACCUGCCAUAUCCUUACACACACGCUCACACACUACAAUCAUGUAUACACCCACACGAACGCAUAAAGGCACCGGCGCAAACACCCACAUUGAUAUUGACUACACCCACCCACACAAACACACACACACACACACACACACAUAUGCACACACAUAAUGAACACACUUGAACAGACAGACACACUCCAGCAUUCUUGCACACAGCUAGUUGACUGUAUUCAUGCUGAGAACAACAUGUAAAAAACAUCCUCAUAAACAUGCCAAUAAAACAUGCAUGGAUUAUGUGUACUGUACUGGACUGGAGUGGAGUUAAUGGACCACUUAAUGACCCUGGCACA